AUGGAGGAAGCAGGGAAGGGUCUUGAUUGGGUUCAUUCGAAGGAGAAAUACAAGGAAUAUUUGAAGCAGCUUCCAGAUUUCAGCUCCAGCAAGAGCAAGGCAGCAUCUGUGGCAAACCCUCAUGUGGUCCAGAAGAGCAAAGGAGUUACAAUGAAGAAGAAUCUAAAGUUUCCUCAAACCAAGCAACAGAUGCCGAGGGCAGAUGUAGAAAUAAAUGUGGACAAGGAAGCUGUGGCGCGAACUGUUGUGCCAACUGUAGUGAUUAGAGAGCCAACCACCACUGAAGAUGUGUCAGCAAUACCUGUUGAGCCUACAACCAUCACAGGAGUUCAAUAG
rnacentral:rRNA from 1 species